rnacentral:rRNA from 1 species
AUUGAACGCUGGCGGCAUGCCUUACACAUGCAAGUCGAACGGCAGCACGGGAGCAAUCCUGGUGGCGAGUGGCGAACGGGUGAGUAAUACAUCGGAACGUGCCCAAUCGUGGGGGAUAAUGUAGCGAAAGUUACGCUAAUACCGCAUACGAUCUACGGAUGAAAGCGGGGGACCGCCAGGCCUCGCGCGAUUGGAGCGGCCGAGGGCAGAUUAGGUAGUUGGUGGGGUAAAGGCCUACCAAGCCUCCGAUCUGUAGCUGGUCUGAGAGGACAAUCAGCCACACUGGGACUGAGACACGGCCCAGACUCCUACGGGAGGCAGCAGUGGGGAAUUAUGGACAAUGGGCGAAAGCCUGAUCCAGCAAUGCCGCGUGCAGGACGAAGGCCUUCGGGUUGUAAACUGCUUUUGUACGGAGCGAAACGACUUUCACUAAUACUGGGGGCUAAUGACGGUACCGUAAGAAUAAGCACCGGCUAACUACGUGCCAGCAGCCGCAGUAA